CUUGGCACUGGUGAGGCUGCACCUUGAAUACUGUGUGCAGUUCUGGGUCGCUCACUACAAGAGAGGCAUUGAGGUGCUGCAGCAGCGUCUAAAGAAGAG